UUUACUGUGUAAUUAUCAAGUCUUCUGCAAAUACCUGGUAAAAUGAUCCAUAACUGUUUUUGCUCAGUUUGUUAAUAAAAUUAAAUUUGUGAGGAAAGUUUAAGUUUUCUAUCACAUUUACAGAUAGAGAAACUAAGGCACAGAGACUUUAAGAACUGACUUACCUAUGGUCAGCCAAUGACUGAGAUAAUUCCUUCUUUCCAUUAUGCUGUCUACUCUAAUUAGAAAGAUUUACUGUCUGAGGGCACCUGGGUGGCUCAGUCAGUUAAACGUCCAAAUCUUGAUUUCAGCUCAGGUCAUGAUCUCACGGUUGGUGAGUUCAAGCCCUGUGUCAGCCUUCAUGCUGGGCAUAGAGCCUGCUAAGAUUCUCUCUUUCUCUCUCUCUGACCCUCCCCUGCCCAUACUCGCUUAUGCUUUCUCUCUCAAAAAAAAAACAAAAACAAAAAACAAAAAACAAAAACUAAAAAACAAAAACAAAACAACACAAAACAAAAAACAGAAAGAUUUGCCGUGGAAUUCAGACUGUCCAAUAGGAAUACCACAAAAAUAAAUUACAAAGUAUGUGCAAACCACAUAAGUAAUUUAAAAUUUUCUUUUUUUUUAACGUUUUAUUUUUAUUUUUGGGACAGAGAGAGACAGAGCAUGAACGGGGGAGGGGCAGAGAGAGAGGGAGACACAGAAUCGGAAACAGGCUCCAGGCUCCGAGCCAUCAGCCCAGAGCCUGACGCGGGGCUCGAACUCACGGACCGCGAGAUUGUGACCUGGCUGAAGUCGGACGCUUAACCGACUGCGCCACCCAGGCGCCCCUUUCUUUUUUAAAAAUUUUUUUUUUUAACGUUUUAUUUUUAUUUUUGGGACAGAGUAAUUUAAAAUUUUCUAAUAAUACCUUCUAAAAGACUUAAUACAAAGGUAAAAUUAUUUUUAAUAUUUUAUGUAACCUAAUAUAUCCAAAAUAUUGUCAUUUCAACAUAUAAUCUUUAUAUAAAAAUCAUUACUGAGAUACUUAAAAUUUUUUUUAAUACUAAAUCUUAGAAAUCUGGUAUUGCACACUUACAUAACAUUCCAGUUCUGGCCUAAAAGUAAGAAUAAGUAACCAGAAAACAUGAUUUCCUUGGAAUCUCUGAUUCUUUUAUUACAUGUGCUCAGUAACUACAGGUAACACUACUGGUUAGUGCAGCUAUAAUUGCCCUUACUUCCUGUCCCGAGGCGGGGUAGUAUUAGAUAUGUGGGUUCUGGAAUCAGCCAGUCUGGGUUUCCAUCCUGGAUCCACCACUGCUAACCGAGUGACAAAGGGCAACUCACUUUCUGUGCCAGAGGUUUCUUACAUGUAAAAUCUUUAAUGGGGUUAUUUCAAGAAUGAAAUGAGUUAAUAUUUAGUGCCUGACAAGCACUAGGUGUUAAAUGUUAGCUAUUGUUAUUGCUUUUGUCAUAGAACACAUAGGAACAAAUUCUUUUUUUUUUUUUUAAUUUUUUUUAACGUUUAUUUACUUUUGAGACAGAGAGAGACAGAGCAUGAACGGGAGAGGGUCAGAGAGAGGGAGACACGGAAUCUGAAACAGGCUCCAGGCUCUGAGCUGUCAGCACAGAACCCGACACGGGGCUCGAACUCACGGACCACGAGAUCAUGACCUGAGCCGAAGUCGGCCACUUAACCGACUGAGCCACCCAGGCGCCCCCACAAAUUCUUAUUUGUAUUCCCCACCCAGUGAAAUUUAUAAGAAACCAAACACAUUAGAUCUAUUACAGGGUUUGUUAUGUGUUGAACUGUCUCCGCCCGUAAGAUAUACUGAAGUCCUAAAUACCCCAGUACUUCAGAACUGAACCUUAUUUGGAAAUAGGGUAGUUGGAGAUAUAAUCAGUUAAAAUGAAGUCACAUUGGUUUUUUAUAUUUUGGUCCUUAACACAUUAUGACUUGUGCCCUUAUAAGAAGAAGAAAGGCCUUGGAAACAGAGACAUACAGGGAGAAGAACAUCACGUGACAAGAAAGCCAGAGAUUGAGGUGAUUCGGCUGUAAGACAAGGAAUGUCAAGGAUGGCCAGUCACCAUCAGAAGCUAGGAAGAAGCAAGGUGGGAUUCUACCCAGAGUCUCAGAGAGAACAUGGCCCUGCUGAUACUAUGAUUUUGAACUUCUAGCAUCCAGAACUAUGAGAGAACAAAUUUUUGUUGUUUUAAGCCAUCCCGUUUGUGGUACUUUGUUACGGCAGCCCCAGGAAACUAAUACAGAGUUCCUCACCCAGAAGGAAGCACUCCGUCCUACAAACAGCCAAGGUUUGGAUGACUGACAACUAGGCAACUGCAAAGUCUCCCAGAGUUAGUGGAGCUUUUAUAAAGUCUGGACAAUCCCAUCUUCCCAAGGGCUCUUAGGCUGGUCCUUAACUCCGUACAUAUACUUUGGAAGGAGAAUCCUGCCUUUAGCAAGGGUAUCUUAGUGAGACAGCUGCCUGUAAAAUGAUUGAGCUAAGUCACAAACCCAGAGAAACAAUGCCAUUGGUUCCUUGGGAAUUACACUGGUGUGAGCAGGUCAUAAAGGUUACCAUUUUUUUAAGUUGAAGUAUAGGUGACAUAUAAUGUUUCAUUUGUUUCAGGUGUACAACAUAGGGACUCAAUUCUAUUCCUUACUCAGUGUUCACGAUGAUAGUGUAGUCAACAUCUGUCACCAUACAACGUUAUUACAAUGUUACUGACUAUAUUCUCUCUGCUGUACUUUUCAUCUCUGACUUAUUUAUUUUAUAAAUGGAAGUCUCUACCAUUUUUUUUAAAGGACUUGGUCCCUUUUAGGCCACAUUUUUUCCCCUAACAUGCUAUUGUAAUCAAAAUCUACUAAAUUUAAUUGGUUUCUUUAAGAAGUUUUCCUGCAUAUCCUUAAAAACUAGGCACUAACAGUGGAGCACACAAAGGAGGAAAAUAAAAAUAAUCUGGGGGCCCCUGGGCGGCUAAGUCGGUUAAGUGUCCAACUCCUGGUUUCAGCUCAGAUUUCAGCUCAUGGUUUGUGGGUUUGAGCCUCACAUUGGGCUCUGCGCUGACAGAGCAGAGCCUGCUUGGGAUUCUCUCUCUCUUUCUCUCUCUCUCUCUCUCUCUCUCUCAAAAAUAAAGAAAACUUAAAAAAAAAACUCAAGUGAAUUUUUUUAUUUUUAAUACUAGCACUGCUACCUGUUCUAUGUGCUAAUUUCUACAGUUUUCAUCCUCCUAAAUUAACAGCUAUGUUCCUUUUCUUCCCAAAUAUACACUUAAAAAAUGAAGUUCUCAAUCACAUAUGCAGAUUUUGUGACAAAUUUAGCAAAGAAAUAAUUUCUCUAAAAGAAAUACCUGUUUUCCUGAGUCAGAAAUGCCUGGCUGACUGGAAACACAGAAAAUACUCAGUGUUUACUAGACUGAUUUUAAUCUGAUGAUCCUAAAAUACUUUUAUUUCAGUGAAAACAUGUUUCUCCUAUAGCAUUCAUUAUGUAAGUAUAUUAGAUACCCCCUUCAAAUUUCUAUUAAUAUUUAUAAGAAUAUACACUGCUUCGGGGCGCCUGGGUGGCUCAGUCGGUUAAGCGUCCGACUUCGGCUCAGGUCGUGAUCUCGCAGUCCAUGAGUUCGAGCCCCGCGUCAGGCUCUGUACUGACAGCUCAAAGCCUGGAGCCUGUUUCAGAUUCUGUGUCUCCCUCUCUCUGACCCUCCCCCGUUCAUGCUCUGUCUCUCUCUGUCUCAAAAAUAAAUAAAGGUUAAAAAAAAUUAAAAAAAAAAAAAAGAAUAUACACUGCUUCAAGUAGAACUUUAGACCUAGAGAGAAUCUUGGAGAUAUUUCCACUUUACAGAUGAGAUAACCAGAGCAAAGGAAUGCUAAACACUUGACCAAGGUCAUGGAGUUAUCAAAUGGAAGUGAAUUUAAGUGGAAUUUAGAAAAACAGUCUUUCCGUUAAAUGAGAUAAUGCAUGUAAAGGUCUCAGCCGGUGCGGACCUAUUUUAACUACUUGUUAAAUGGAACUACUCCUGGCGUUGUAUAACUCAGAGCUGCGAUGUGGAGUCCCGGAAAGGCCGUGGACUUUCAUAUCAGAUGCACCGGGGUUCUACCGGUAGUGCUCCCUCAGCGGCUUAAGUCAUCUGGGCAAAUCACUUAAACUUUCUAUACGUCUGCUUUCUCCCAAGGAAAAUGGGGAUGACAAAGUGAUAAAGCGUAUCGGAUAAGCAGAGGCAUUUGUUAAUACUAGCAAUGAAGUUAUAGUCUGUUCUUUGGUACCUUGAAUCAAGAAUAUAAAGAAUUAAAAGAGCGGUCUCCUGUCAUGAACACGUAUCCCCUAAAACUGAAAGGAGGAGGCCAGGCUCGCGUCAAAUCCACCUUCAGCACUCCUACACCUGGCUCACUCGCCACCUCACGCUGUUCCCGGGGCACUGACGCUUCAGCCUGCGUGCCCUUACCCUGCUGCCUCCUGGGUGUUCGGGAACUCCCCUUGGAGCACCCUGCUUAUGUCUUUUUCUCUCUAGGCUCCCCUGUUUUUAAAAACUCUCCCUUUGUGCACCUCAUUCUCUCAAGCAUCUGAUUUUGACUUUAUAAGGUAAAGACUGCUUAGCAGAUUAACUUACCUAACUAAGGUAGCACUCCCAAAUCCUGUUCUGUGGAACACUAGCCUCUAAGACGCUCCAUGGGAAAAGAUCAAAUAACUUUGAGAAACGCUACAGACUAAAUCCCACUGCAGCAGACGCCUGCCUGUAGAUAAGGCCGACCAGUGUCUCCUCAGUGCUCCUGGUUCCCUUUUACAUUAAGGGCGUCCUCCCGCAAGCACCUACGCCUCGGCCUGAGAACAUUCUGACCGGGAGCUCACUCUGCCAGCCUCUGGACACAGUCACAGGACUUACGCUGCCAAGAGGAGCCGCAGCCAAUGGCAGGUGAGAGCUGACAGGUGUAUCUACUCCAGCUUCCUUGUCCUCGACUGGCACAGCCCUGAGAUGGAUUCUACACAGUCUCCCAGAGGUCCUUGGCAGGAAAGCACCCCAGACACCCAUGGCAAUGGCUGCUUGUUAAUGCAUCCUAUUUAUAUUGGCUUUUCCCCCUUCUGUCUGAGCUCCCUAAUACCUUACUAGAAUUUCAUAGGAUUGUCUUUGAAAUAAACCACUUGUCUUAGGAUCUGUUUUUCUUUCUUCGAGAUUCAUGACACACACUAGCAAUAUUAAAGACUAUGGGAAAUCUUUGGGGGAAAGGAAUUCAUUUACUAUAUUUAAUCAGAAAUUUUAUUUAAUAAGUUUUCCAAACUUAUUUGGCCAUGGGAACCUUUUUAUUUAUUCCUUCCUUCCUUCCUGUAUUUAUGUAGAUUCCAUGGGACCCUACUUAUUUAUUUAUUUAUUCCUUUAAGUAGGUUCCAUGCCUAAUGUGGGGCUUGAACUCAUGUCCUCGUGAUCAAGAGUUGCAUGCUCUACCAUCUGAGUCAACCAGAUGUCCCACGGGAACCUUUUUAAAAGGGUGAGAGUUUUGAUCCUGUGAAACUAGUGUUCCUCUUUGGUAUAUACUUUGGGAAACACUGACUGAAGCAUUAAUGACUGACAGAGUAUUAUCCCUCUCAGAGAUAUCAGUAUCUUAACAGCUUCUGCAAAUCAGUACUUUCUCACUCAAAGAACUGGAUCCCUUUAGAUGAGAAGGUCAGGCUCUACGGUAGAUGUGAUGGAAAAUAAUUUGGAAGCGCGUGUCUUAUGUCAAACCCUUCAAAUCAGGUGAGGUUGGUAACUGUCUACUCUGCUAUCAAGAGCUAACAGGAAAUUAUGGGUAGGUUUCUUGGUUCAAGAGUGUAGUCCUGAGACUUGGAGGACAGUGCAGGAGGUAUAUGGGAUGAUGACUGUUAUUGUCUGAAAUUGCUCUGGAGAAAAGAAAUAUCUUUAGGAAGAAGGAGCUCACUUUCAGUGGUCUCAGCCCCAAAUAAUCAGAUGCCCAGGACUGCAAUAUUUCUUAAGAUAUCUGAAGAAUAAAAUAGUCGAGAGUGAUCAGAAUUUUAAAUAGUUAAGCCUUGAAUUACUCUUCAAACUCCAUGAAAAGAGGUUCUGUGAUAGAGAAAUACAGAAUGGCAAUACUCUGCACAGCAGUCUUGCUCUGCCUUUAACACAACCAUUGGCAAUAGCAGGGUACUCGCUCUACUGUCCAGGCUGGACCCCCCUGGAAGAAAGUGGUAAGAAGUCUUGUGAAUGGACAGUACCUGGGAGGUGAGUGAGGGUGUAAAAGGUCAGCGUGGUAAGAGCAUGUUUAGAGCAAGUUGGGACAGUUCAUCUCCAGGAACUGAUUUCUGCCAUCGUACAGCAGUUUUCUUCCCAACUCUGCAACACAAUUUUACACUAUCUCCUUUGUCAUCACGCUGUCCCCUCUCAUGGCCAUUUUCCAGAUGUUGAGAUAGUAAAUAUUUCAAAAUGAAUUGCCAUGGAUCAUCAUUAAAGCAUGCCACAUUUUGGGUCAACAUGGUCAUUUUGAAAAUCUCACUUAUAAAAUGUUAAUAAAUGAGAUACAAAUCAAUAAAGAGAAAUUUCAAAUAAUCCUAAUUCUUCUAGGGGUUCAUUCUCUGUAUUAAAAACAACAUGAACAGAAAACCAGUGCGGAGUGACAAAAUGUGGAAAAGGAGUACCGAGAAUCAAACGUGGCCGUGAACUGGAGGUAUCUGACAUUUCCAUCUUCAUCAAGGGGGAUUCUGUCAAGUAACAACUCAAACUCUUCACCAGUAAUCUCCACACCAAACCUGAAACGAAUAGCAUUUAGCAUCAGUCACCCCCCAAGUUCACAUCUGGGUCACCCGUACCCACAAUACCCUAAGCAUAUGGCUGCCAUUACCGCUUUGUUAUUGCUGCAGUCCUCAAGAUCAAGAGCACCACGUGAAUAUCAGAGGUUAAUCAGGGUGUUGAUCGCUUCAGCUUUCUCAAAGAAAGAGAUUCUACCACAGAAUCCCUGCAUUGGUGGUGCACAGAAAUAGAAAUACCGGCAUGUUGAAUUGUGUGUGAUUGUCUUCUGUAAAAAGUUAUUCAUUACGCUAAAACACUGGUAUUGCUUAAACAAGUUAACUCUGAAAGGCCUUUCAAUUGGACUGCUUAGCAUGAAAGAAAAGGUAGAGAAAAAAAGUGCCUUUCGAAAAACAGCUUCCUAAUGCUCUUGCAAAGCAUUUCAUAAUGGCUUUAAAGACAUUUUGCAUACAAAUAUUUAAAAAGUGGCAGUGUUUAUUCAUCAGCAAGAAAGUGUUUUCAUCUCCCAAGAACAAUCAAAACAUAAUCCUUGAAUUACUGGCAUAAAUAAGAAUGACUUAAGCAAUAAUAAUGAACAAGGCAUUCAUUCAUCAUUCUGCAAAGCUGAUAAGACCCAGCUGACUUUUGGAAAAGAGGAGGAAUAGAUUUUCUUUGGGCAAUGCUAAGAAUAACAUGAGAAAGGUUUUUUUUUUUUCUAUUUUCAUUAUGACUUCCUUGAUAAUUAUAAAACAAAACAUAUACACCAUCAAGAAUAACAAACAAAAAUGGCUUUUUCAUAGGCUACAAAGAAUUGAGUUAUCACAUAUUCGUGUUUCAGAAGUACUUGAAUAUGUAUAGUGUCUCAGAGGCUUUGCAGUUGGAUGUCCUUUUUUCACUUGCACCAAAUUAGGAAAAAAAGGAUAGAAUCAAUUAUUUAACAUAACACAUCACACUAUAUCUUAUUCCUCGCUUUUCUCUCUUCUUUUUCAUUUCUUUAGCAAUGAUGUUACCGGUACUAGUGAACAAAUCUUUGGCAUUUUCCUGAGAAGUUAAAAUUAAUUCUCAGGUUUUAUUUGGACUUAAAUUCCUGAAGUCAGUACUUAGAAAAGAAAAUAAACAGGUUUUCCCUAGGAAAUUUUUACCGGUAUUUUUUACCGAAAAAAUACCAGACCAAAACUCAAGAGAACUGGAUCUAUUCUGUUCACGGUUAUGUACUCACGGCAAAAACACUAGGCUUGUCAUAUUUCAGUUUUCUCAACUCUCAAGUGGUCUGUAAGUUCUCUGUAUCUUACUUAGGUGGCCACAGGAUUAGGAGAGAAUGAAAAUAAAAGUGCCUUGAAAAACGAGAAUAUCAUAAAAAUACUGUGUAUUGUAAAAGAAGUAUAUUGUGUAUUGUGUAUUAUUAUUACUGAUAGAGAGUACAGUUUUAAAAAUCUUCAAAAAAAUACUAGAAUAUAGUGCUUAAACCUAACAGUGACACAAAAAGCCCUUUUUCUUUUUUUUUUUUUUAAUUUUUUUUUUUUUCAACGUUUAUUUAUUUUUGGGACAGAGAGAAACAGAGCAUGAACGGGGGAGGGGCAGAGAGAGAGGGAGACACAGAAUUGGAAACAGGCUCCAGGCUCUGAGCCAUCAGCCCAGAGCCCGACGCGGGGCUCGAACUCACAGACCGCGAGAUCGUGACCUGGCUGAAGUCGGACGCUUAACCGACUGCGCCACCCAGGCGCCCCAAAAAGCCCUUUUUCUCCAGAGGUUUUCCUUCUGAGUGGAAUACAUCGUGGAAAAAGCGUGGGCUUCAGAUUAACUGAACCAACAUUCAAAUCCAGCUCUGCCAUUUAGCUGUAUGUAGCCUUGGGAAAUUUACUUAAUUCCCAGAGCCUCAGUUUCUGUACCUAUAAAAAGAAAGGUUACUUAGAAAAUUGAAAAAUUUAAUACAUAUAAUAUGCACAUACUCUCUGUAAUGAGAAGUGUAUUUUGGGCGGGUUGGGGGAGGGGAAUCUGUAUUUUCUUAAAUUACCUUCCUUUUUUUGAUGGAUAAAAUGAGGCUUUCUCUAACCACUUAACUUCAGUCCCACCUCAGCGACCUAGUUACUAUUAUAUCAUGCCUUUCUUAUUAUUAUUUUCCUUAUCCUUUGCUUUAAAAAUAGGUACCCUGCCUGACAUGUGUUUCACUGUAUCCCUAGAACUUCUAACAAUGACCAGAAAGUGCUCAAUAAAUAUUUAAUAAAUGAAUGAAUGAAAAACUCAUGUCUCCUAUAAGAGGAUAUAUAUUCAUAAAACGAGGAACCUUUAAAGGCUACCAUUCCAUUAUCCAUCCUAAUAGAAGGUAGCUGGAUGGCCCACAACAGUAAAAAAUUAAAGUCAGACAUGUUUGCUUUGGAAUACAUUUUAUGCUCCCCAUUAAGCGUGGAUAUCCUAUAUUAACAGAUUUAAACAGACUUCUAAUAAAAUAAUAAAGCUGCAUUUAUUCAUCCUUCUGGUUAUUCAACAAAUAUUUUGGGACCACCUACUAUGUGUUAGGCAAUAUAUUAAAUGCUUGGAAUACAGUGAUAAGACAUACCUUACUGUAGAGCAAGGAAAAUAGUAAAUGAGUAUUACUUACAAAACAUGAUUAUGAUAGAAGAAAUACAGGAUUUUAAGGGAGCUUUUAACAACAUGACCUAACUCAGACUAAAGAUGAGGAAAGGCUUCCAGAGGAAAAGAUGAGCUGAGAGUUACCUAGGCAGAGAAGGAGAAAGAGCAUUAUAGGUAGAGAACAGGCACAUUCUGGACAUGAAAGGAUCUCAAUCUUACUAAAGCCUGGAGUUUAGGUGAGAGAAGGGAGAGAGACCAGGUUUGGAGAGAGGCCCGAGAAUUCUAGCCUGCCCUUCCUGAGAGCCUGCCUUAUGGCGUUUAGACUUGCCUAGCCAGCCUCGACCAGUGUAAACCAAAUCCUUGAAACAAAUCUUUUAAUAUACAUCUCCUGUUGUUUCUGCUUGUCUGGUUGAACCCUAACUAAUAUAUCAUUAAAGGAUUUAAAGCAUAUAGUGAAACCAAAUUUGUGUUUUUAAAAGCACUCUGUCUGAAAUGAGACGGAUUUGAGGGAGAGUAAUACUUGAACCAAAUAGACACUUCAGAAGGAAGCUGUUGAAACAAUCCCCAUUAGAGAGGAUGGGAGCUUGAUUAAGAUAGUAAAAGUAUGAGUGAGAGAAACAAUGGGUUGGGGAUAUUCUAGAAGUAAAAGAUACAAGAUUUUGGGAAUGCAAGCUGGUGCAGCCACUCUGGAAAACGGUAUGGAGGUUCCUCAAAAAACGAAAAAUAGAACUACCCUACGACCCAGCAAUGGCACUACUAGGCAUUUAUCCACUGGAUACAGGUGUGCUGUUUUGAAGGGGCACGUGCACCCCCAUGUUUACAGCAGCACUAUCGACAACAGCCAAAGUAUGGAAAGAGCCCAAAUGUUCAUCGAUGGAUGAACGGAUAAAGAAGAUGUGGUAUAUAUAUACAAUGGAGUAUGACUCAGCAAUCAGAAAGAGUGAAAUCUUGCCAUUUGCAACUAGGUGGAUGGAACUGGAGGGUAUUAUGCUAAGUGAAAUUAGUCAGAGAAAGACAAAAAUCAUAUGACUUCACUCAUAUGAAGACUUUAAGAGACAAAACAGAUGAACAUAAGGGAAGGGAAACAAAAAUAAUAUAAAAACAGGGAGGGGGACAAGACAGAAGAGACUCAUAAAUAUGGAGAACAAACAGAGGGUUACUGGAAGGGGUGUGUGUGGGGGGAUGGGCUAAAUGGGUAAGGGGCAUUAAGGAAUCUACUCCUGAAAUCAUUGUUUCACUUUAUGCUAACUAAUUUGAAUGUAAGUUUAAAAAAUAAAAUUAAGAAAAAAAAAGAUACAAGAUUUUAUUUUUUUAAUUGGAAGAAUUGGUAGAAAGUGAAGGAGAAGUCCAGGAUAAUCCUAGGUUUCUGGCUUGGAUGACUGGGUAGCUGGGGGGUCAUUAACUGAGAUGAAGGAACACUGGAAGAGAAACAGGUUGUGAUAGUGCAAGGGAAGGUCACGAGUUCAGUUUUAAACACGCUGAGUUGGGACUGUGAGAUAUCCAACACGAAGUGUCCAGUAAGCAGGUAGAAGCAGGUCUGAAGCUCAGGAAAGCCAUUGGCUGUAAAUCUAAAUUUGAGAGUCACCUGUAUAUAAAGGUGAUCUGAGGCUAGAGGAUUAGAUGACAUUACAAAGGAAAAUACAUACAGUGAGUUGAGAAAAGGACACAGAACAGAGACCCUACUUAAGGAAAGAACAGAGGAAGAGAAUCUGCAACAGAAUCUAAGGAGUCAUGGGAAAAAAUGGCAGAAAGGAAGCCAAGAGAAAUGAUAACAGGAGCCAAGAACACGGAGGCUUUGAAAAGGAGACUGCGAUCAGUCAUUUCAAAAGCAGUCAAGAAAUCAAGCAAAUUAAAUUUCUAUUGAAUUUGGAAGUAAGAAGCCAAUGACCUGGUGAGCUGCUGGUAGAGUGAUGGGGUCUACAACCAUAGUGUAGAGGGUUGAGGAGCAAGUGGAACUUGAGGGAAGACAGACAGAAUGCAUAUCUCUUUCAAGAAGCUUAGGUAGGAAGGGAAGGAAAAAGGCGGCAAACAGGAAGGAAAGGUAGAGUCAAGGGAGCUGUUUUUUUUAAAGAUGAGUAAUGUAAGGGGCACCUGGGUGGCUCAGUUGGUUAAGCAUCCAACUUCAGCUCAGGUCAGAUCUCGCGGUUUGUGGGUUCGAGCCCCGCGUCGGACUCUGUGCUGACAGCUGGGAGCCUGGAGCCUGCUUCGGAUUCUGCGUCUCCCUCUCUCUGCCCCUCCCCAGCUUGGGCUCUGUCUCCCUCUUUCCCUCUCUCUCAAAAAUAAAUAAACAUUAAAAAAAAAAAGAAAAAGAAGAUGAGUACCAUGAGCACUGUUAAAUACCGACGGGGGCAGUAUCAAGGCAAAGGUUAAAAACAGAGAGGGAAUCAUUGAUGGAUUCUAUGAAAGAUCAAAGACCACAGGUAGACUGGAGAAAGAAUACCUCUUUCACUGAAACAGGGGGAAAUAAGGAAACAAUGUGUUUACAGGAUUUGAAAUAUCAGGAGUUCCUCCUUUUCUAAUUUUACUGUGGAGAUGCAAGGCUACUCUACUGAGAGUGGGGCAGGGGAGGAAGGUAAGUGAAAGGGCAUGUGUUUUGAAGAAAUUGAAAAAGGUUUGAAAUAUGCAGAGUGGAGACUGGGAUACAGAGCUGACUGAGAGAACAUAGUAGGCAGUGACAGAGAAGUUGAGAGCCCAGCUGAGGUUGGUGACAAUGAAUUUACUGUGAUAUAAAUCUACUCAGUAGUAUGACUGUCCCCAGUAACCUGGGUGCAGGUGAAGAUGGAAUGGACAGUUGGGUUCAUCCACAUUUGGGAAUCUGCCACAUAGAUGUGAAUAAAAAAUGGGUUAUGAUAUUGACAAGAAAAUGUCUACCAUGUGGGAAAACAGAUUUUAAGCUGUGCUCUAGCUCAGACAGGGUGGUCAAUGGACUAGAUAGGAGAUACUGGUCAGAAAUAGGCUGAAAGUGUGAUUUCAUAGGUACAGCUAUUUUGGAUGAUGACACACUCUGUUGGGAGAGUCAGGUAGAUGUAAGGGUAAAAACUAAAAUUUACCGAGAAUUUAGUAUGUUUCUUAGCGUCCUGAAACCAAUAACACACUGUAUGUUGACUAACCUGAAUUUAAGUAAAUAAAUAAUUGUAAAAGAUAUGUUCUUAGCACUGUGCUGAGCAUUUUACAUGCAUUGUCCCCAUAUAAUCCCUGCAACCAUCAAUUAAGUAUUAUUAUCAUUGCCAACACUGUCCUGGCAGUAACAGUGAGAUCCCUGAGGUGCCUAAAGAGGGCAGGAGAGAAAUGUGUCUGGAAAUGACACUGAAGAAUGAGGACGAUGGGCUCUUGUCAGGGCUUCCAGGAAGCAAUGUCCUUAGCAGAGAGCCAGAUUUGGUUAAACUAGAUUGUAAUAUUUCAAAGCAGUUAAAAACAUAGUAGAGCAUACUCCUCCUGGAUUGGAGCUUCCGUCAGGCACAGUGGGAGAAUGUUAGGAGGACAGGAGUGAGAGUGUGAAAGAGGGAACGAGAAACCCACAUAAACCUUAGGCUAGAGAACACUGAGAGGGUACAUAGGUUAGACAGUUGAGAGGUUCACAUCAUGGGUAGUAUGACAACAAAAAUGCAUGUGAGGCCACAUGGAUUUAGAAUCUAGAAGAAACCUUCAAACAUAACCAUCCAGCCCCUAUUUUCAUCUCAUCACUCAUUCUGUCCCUACACGCAGUGGGUAAGUAACUUAAAUUCUCAGACUGUAGUAGUAGCCAAUAUUCAUUGACCUCUUACCACUUGUCAGACGUUACACGUACUAAUUUCCUUAAUCCUCACAACAAUAAUAUGAAGUACUGGGGUGCCUGGGUGGCUCAAUCUGUUACGUAUCUGACGUCAGCUCAGGUCAUGAUCUCAGGGUUCAUGAGUUCGAGUCCCGCAUGGGGCUCUCUGCUGUCAGCACAGAACCCGCUUUGGAUCCUGUGUCCACCUCUCUCUCUGCCCCUCAUGCUCCCCCAUGCAUGCAUGCAUGCACUCUCUCAAAAAUAAAUAAACAUUUAAAAAAAGCAGUACAUACUAUUAUCAUCUCCAUUGUACAGUGAAACCUUACAUAGGUAGCAUCUGGUGGAGCUUGAACUUGAGCCCUGCUAACUGACUUGGAGCCCUAAAGCUUGCCAUUUUGCCAUUCUCACUGCCUGAGUAGGGCUGUCAUUUCUCUCCCUACAACUGUCUUUCCUACACCACACGCUUUCUCUAGCAGAAAAAGGUCUCUCCACAAUCCUUCCAGAGAAACUUAAAUGUUAAUGUAUGAUAAGCUUAUGAUAAUGUCAAUACAUCCAUAGCUAACCUUUAACACCAUACCCUAUAAAUGGAUGUUGAAAUAAGGACAAUUCAUCUUGGACUUUAUCCAAGAGAACUUCCAUUUUUAACUACCCAAAAGACCUCCUUUCCUUACAGGGUAGGCUUAAGGCAUACAGCUCAAAGAUAGUAUUUUAGCACCAAUCUAGUGUGUUUUAAAAAUUUAUCACACAAUAACUUUAUUCUGUUGUCAGGGUGGAAACUGGUUUCUGAUAUUCCUCCCUGAGCACAAAGCAAAAGUUACUGUCAGGUUUAUUGUUUUAAGUUCCAUAACAGAUAAUAUCUGAGGGAUGUUUUUAGCUCCAUACAUUUUUCAGUAUAUAGUAAACAAUCAAAGUAGCUUUCAUACAUAUAAAGUAAGCAGAAAUCCCAUUUAUAUAAAUUCCCCCUUUCUGUUAUUUAACCGUUUUAAAAUAGCAAAGUACAGUAUCUGUGUAUAGAAUGCACGAAGUAAUAAAAAUUAAAAACCCACCAAAGGAACAAACCAUAGUUGGAUUCUAUCUUAAUACUGAUUUAGCAGUCAGAUUUUGCUUUUUUUUUUUUUUAAUUUUUUUUUUCAACGUUUAUUUAUUUUUGGGACAGAGAGAGACAGAGCAUGAAGGGGGGAGGGGCAGAGAGAGAGGGAGACACAGAAUCGGAAACAGGCUCCAGGCUCCGAGCCAUCAGCCCAGAGCCCGACGCGGGGCUCGAACUCACGGACCGCGAGAUCAUGACCUGGCUGAAGUCGGACGCUUAACCGACUGCGCCACCCAGGCGCCCCCAGAUUUUGCUUUUAAUGUGUGACAUUUCCAAAAAACCGAAAAGACUUAAAUAAAAAAGAUGUGGUACAAGGAAGGCCUCACAUUUAAUGAAGGUCUUUUAUUUACUCCAACAGCUAACUACAAUAGGAAGGCUUUACUUAAAACUGAAGUGUUUAGGGGUGCCUGGAUGGCUCAGUCGGUUGGGCGACCGACUUCGGCUCAGGUCACGAUCUCUCGGUCCAUGAGUUCAAGCCCCGCGUCGGGCUCUGGGCUGACAGCUCAGAGCCUGGAGCCUGUUUCGGAUUCUGCGUCUCCCUCUCUCUGACUCUCCCCCCCGUUCAUGCUCUGUCUCUCUCUGUCCCAAAAAUAAAUGUUAAAAAAAAAAUUUUUUUUAAAUAAAAAAAAAAAACUGAAGUGUUUAUAUAUAUAUUAUUUUUGAGCUCUUUACCAAGGACUUUGUAAAUGGGAUUCUUCAGAAACAAAAAAAAAAAUACUUUUAUAUUAGCUGAAUAUUUCAAAAUAGAGAUAACACUAUGUCUGUUAUCAUAAAUUUGGGUUUGUUUCAUGGCAUUUUAGCAUUGAUUCUUCAGCCAAAUCCCUAGAGAUAGGACCAUAUAUUUUCCUGAUCAAUCUAUGUUUAAUUUGAUACUUAGAUUAUUUGUGUUAUUAAAUUAUAUUUAAUAUUCAAAAAAAGCAUUUAAAGAUGAUACUCUUUUCUCUAAAGAAGUAUUUGGGGCUAGGGGCGCCUGGAUGGCUCAGUCAUUGAGCAUUCGACUUCAGCUCAGGUCACGAUCUCAUAGUUCAUGAGUUCGAGCCCCAUGUUGGGCUCUAUGCUGACAGCUCAGAGCCUGCAGCCUGCUUUGGAUUCUGUGUCUCCCUCUCUCUCUGCCCCUCCCCUGCUCACACUCUAUCUCUCUCUCAAAAAAUAAAUAAACAUUAAAAAAAAUUUUUUUAAGAAGUAUUUGGGGGUUGUUUUAAGUCUUUAAUUUCUUACGUUAAGCUUUUUUCCAUUCAGACCACUAUAUAUUUAAAAUAUAGACAAGGAUAUACAGUUCAGGAAAAAAGUAUUUUUCAUCACCUCUGUUUCCUUCAUAUUGUCGAAAUCUUUACUACGACGCUCAGAAAACAUCCGGAUACUAUUAUAAAAUAAAUUCCCAGGCUCUGAAAAAAGUACCUUCAGCCUUUAUUUUAAAACGGAGAAGGGAACCUAGGUGGCUCAGCCGGUUAAGCAUUUGACUCAGGUCAUGAUCUCAAGGUUUGUGGGUUCAAACCCCGUGUCAGGCUCUGAGCUGUCAGCACUGAUUCUGAAGCUGAGCUGCUUCUGAUUCUGUGUCUCCCUCUCUCUCUCUGCCCCUCCUCUGCUCGUGCUCUCUCUCAAAAAUAAAUAAACAUUAAAAAAAAUUCAAAAUGGAGAAAUAAUUUAAGCUAAUGUUGUUGUUUUCAUUUUUUAAUUAGUUAUCCUUAAAAACAGAAUGAUAUUUGAUAUUAUAGGGUAGUCCUUUACUUAUGUUAACCAAAAUGAACAUAAGAAAAGAGCUCUGGAAAGUGGAUUUUUUUUUUUUUUUUUAAAGAAUCUCUUAGCACAGGUAAUAAAGUGCAAGUCCUGGGUUUGAGUCCUCACUUCUGCCUCUUACUAGAUGUGAGACUUUAGUAAGUCUCUUAAUCUCUCAUAGAUUAUUUCUUCAUCUGUAAAAUGAGCAAGAUAAUCACAUUUAACCUGCAGGAUUCCUUCCGGGGUCAAGUUGCUUAAUAAACACAAAAACUGCUACAGAUAAAUUCUAAGGCAGUCUCUUGGUGUGAGACAUACAUAAUGUUAACAAUACAAUUGGGUAAAGUCUGCAUUCACUUCAACUUAACGGGGAAAAAAGUGGGUGGCUGGUUUCCUCACACUCCCUUUGCAUUCCCUGCUCCUCCAAACCUAGUAAACUCCGUUUCUGCCGAAUAUGAUUUAAUUUGCGUCAGCGGGAAACCAAGCAAUUAGACGAUGACUAAUAGCCCAGACAGGAUACAGCUGAAGGUUUGUGCAAAAGAAUGAUGAGGAAAGGUUUGAUCCUGUGCAGGUGUUCUCCCUAGAUUGUCUAACGUGGGGUCGAUGGACUUUGGGAACUACGGCUUGUUCCCAGGUGGGUGAGCCUUAGGGCCACUGGUUUUUCAAGAUUUGGAAGGUCUCCUGAGAUCCUGCGGGAGGAGGUUAGGGGGGGUUUCCAACCAUUAAGGCGGAGAUCUCACCUUGAGAAAGUCUCGUUACCGCCCACGAGCCCUCUUCCUGAACUAAGAGUCGGAGACUCCAGCCUGUGUUUGAGCCCGGGGGACUAUGAACCGCACAGACCUCUGGGAGAGCCUGCUGUGGGCGUGGCAGUGGGGCAUGCCGGGAUGGGAAGGGCAUGCUGGGAAGGAGGGCCCCUGGGGCCCUGGGGCCUCUUGGGAAGUAGGAUGGCCCUGGAUGCGGGUUUUCAGUUAUCUCGGGAGUGAAGUUGCCCUGGUAGUGUCCAUUUUAGAGCUGUUCCUACAAGGCAAGGCAGCUUGGAUGCUUUUCAACCAGCGUCUCUUCUCCAGUCAAAGAUGCGUUUUCCCUGUUGGGUUCUCCGAAGUUCCUCCGCUUGGUCCAGAUGGCCUGAAGGGGUGUGUUUCCUGGGGUCUCUCCCCACUUUCCCCAGUGUUAACGAUCCCCACCUGUGCUGACUUCCUCAUCCUGGCCCUUUAAGUCUUCUCUGCCUGGGCUCUGACUUUUUACAGCCCUGCAGGGAGAAAGGCCUCUGAAGUUUUACUUUUCUUCCACCUGGUGUAAAUAAUACAGGCCCUCCAAAGUGUCCAAAAUCGUAUUUCAAAUCCCAGUGUUACCUUUUUUUUUUUUCCAUCUUAGACAAGUUCAUUUUAUGCUUGCGUUAAUUUGGGAGAGCCCCAGGCCUAUGUGAGUGGAUUAUGGAUGAAAUCCCACUAAACAGAACUCUGACCUGACCAUGACACCCAUAUUGGAAUAUGUGCUUCUGCGUCAUUUUGAACACAACAAAGGAUUUAUACUUUCUCUCCACUCCCCCACCCUGUCCCCCACUCUCUUGUGUAUGACCGGCUGAGAUUUGACAAUGCACUAGAUAGAUUCUUGGUCUGAUUUCACACUGGAGAUUUUCCUAAGUGAUAAGUGGAAGAAUAUCCUUAACUCCCAGGUGAAAUUAUCAUCAUUACUCUUUUUUUCAUAUGUAACCUAAUCUAGGUCAAAAUUUAGGGCAAUCAGGUCCAUCUGUGCAAACCAUUACAGUCCACUCCUGCUAUUUUCUAAAAGUCUGAUUUAAAAUACUCUGUUAGGUGUAUUGUAGUAGAUUUGUGAAAUCUUCUUGUUCUCCCUUUCCUGUCAGUGCUUUGUGAUUCUCUCGUGGAAAAGACUGUAAAUCAGAAGCAAUUGGAGUUGCCUUAUGAGAUUUACAAAAUAGAAGAGCUGAAGGGAAUAUUUCAAGGUAAUCAAAAGAAAAUAUUCAAUCGUUGGAAAAAAUAUUAAUUACGUCAAUA
rnacentral:lncRNA from 1 species